rnacentral:lncRNA from 1 species
AUGCAAAUCACUUCCCGCAGCCCGGCACCGAGGGUCCCCGCGUCCCCGCUCCGCUCCUGCUCCGGCCCACACAGGGCCAGGCCUGGGGCACCUCCUGCAGCCCGCGUGGCUCAGCUGCUCAGAAAUGUCACAGCCACGCCCAGCGGGGGCCACGCCCAGCCAGGCCGGCCCUGCCGGGGUCCCUGCGUCCCCAGCUCAGAGGCACCGCGGCGGGCAGUCAACAGCCGGAGAACUGCAAAGCACCGGCAGACGGUCAAAGGGCUUCUGGGAAAAGGACAGGACCCGCAGCUGGACGCCGGCCCCGGGCGACUUUCUCAAGUCAGGGGCCGUAUUUCUUCUCCACCCUCCUCUGACCUUCGCUCCAAACUGCCGGCUGACGCAGCUCUGCUUGGCUUCACCGUGGGAACCACAAACUCGGUGACCAGCCCGUCCUGCUGGGCCCUGCUCGGAGCGGUCGGGGAACUCAGCCCCAGGACAGUCGUUCGAGUCACGCACUGCAGCAGCUGCUUCUCCCCGCCAGCCCCUGCUGUGGCGUCGAGGACUCCUGGUGCUUGGUAACCUAGCAACCCAGCAUCUUCCAGAGAACACACAGGAAUCUCCUCACGGGGAACAUUCAGCUGACAAACAAGCGGUCCACGCUCCGGAGCCACGCGAACUGGCCAUGUGAGAGUUAAAGUGAAUCAGCGCCCCCGUGCCAUUUCUUAGAGAUUUGUGAGGGACAUUCCCACAUGCUGGCAAGAUGUGCUGCCACAUGCCCUGUGUCCUCUCCUGUGAGAUGCCAGCCACGCACUGCAGGGCAUUUGCAGGGCCAGACCUCCUCACAGGUUGCAGGGCUCAGGCCAAGAGGGAGGGCUGCUGUAGCCCGCAGGUAUCUCCAACAGCCAGUACAGGCUGGGGAACUUUAGGGCAAACCUUGCUUGACCUGUGGUGUUUUUUGCUAUUGUUGUAGUUUUUGAGACAGGAUCUCACAUAUAGUUCAGGUUGGCCUUGAGUUCACUUUGUAGUUCAGGCUGGUCUCGAACUCAUAGUGAUCCUCCUGCCUCAGCCUCCUGAGUGCUGAGAUUACAGGUGUGCACCACCAUGCCUGGAAACCUAUGGUAUUUUCAAGGUUUCCUAGUACAUCACCGUGUAUGCACUGGGGGAAGGUUACUUUUGUUGUUGCUGCUCUGAGACAAGGUCUUGCUAUGCAGUCCAGCCUGGCCUGGAGCUCACUGCAAUCUUCCUGCCUCAUCCUCCCAAGUGCUGGGAUGACAGACUGCUGGGGGUUUGGAAUAAAUUUGGAAGGUUGUAAAUGACUAACAGAAAUUUAAAUGCAAACAUCCUUUUGACUCUGCAUUUUUUCUUUUAGGAAUUUACUCCCUGAACUCUUUUUUUUUUUUGGUACAGGGAAUCGAACUCAUGACCUUGCGCUUGCCAGGCAGGCGCUGUGCCACUGAGCUAAAUCCCCAGCCCUACUCCCUGAACUCUUGAGACACAUUCACAAAGUUAUAUAGACAAUAAUGCUUUUACUAUAGCAUUAAUGUGCGGAGGAAAAAUGGAAAUGCUAGCAGUGUAUCCUUUAAAUAAUUCUGCUAUAUCUAUACAUAAGUCAGGUAUGGUGGAACACACCUGUAAUUCCAGCACUCAGGAGGCUGAGGCAGGAGGAAUGCCAUGAGUUCAAGGCCAGCAUGGGCUACCUAGUGAGUUCAUGGCCAGUUGAAUUACAUAGUGAGACCUGCCUCAAAAAACAAAACAAAAAAAGGAUGAAGCCGACUAAUUUCUGAUUUUAGAAAGAGACAAUUAAAAUAACUUAAAAAUUUUAAACUAGGUCAGUAGCACACCCCUGU